GAUGAACGCUGGCGGCGUGCCUAAUACAUGCAAGUCGAGCGAACGGACGAGAAGCUUGCUUCUCUGAUGUUAGCGGCGGACGGGUGAGUAACACGUGGAUAACCUACCUAUAAGACUGGGAUAACUUCGGGAAACCGGAGCUAAUACCGGAUAAUAUUUUGAACCGCAUGGUUCAAAAGUGAAAGACGGUCUUGCUGUCACUUAUAGAUGGAUCCGCGCUGCAUUAGCUAGUUGGUAAGGUAACGGCUUACCAAGGCAACGAUGCAUAGCCGACCGGAGAGGUGGAUCGGCCACACUGGAACUGAGACACGGUCCAGACUCCUACGGGAGGCAGCAGUAGGGAAUCUUCCGCAAUGGGCGAAAGCCUGACGGAGCAACGCCGCGUGAGUGAUGAAGGUCUUCGGAUCUUAAAACUCUGUUAUUAGGGAAGAACAUAUGUGUAAGUAACUGUGCACAUCUUGACGGUACCUAAUCAGAAAGCCACGGCUAACUACGUG
rnacentral:rRNA from 1 species